AAAAGAAGCAGUGGGAUUAAGUGAUGGGGUGACUGCGUACCUUUUGUAUAAUGGGUCAGCGACUUAUAUUUUGUAGCGAGGUUAACUGAAUAAGGGAGCCGAAGGGAAACCGAGUCUUAACUGGGCGUCGAGUUGCAAGGUAUAGACCCGAAACCCGGUGAUCUAGCCAUGGGCAGGUUGAAGGUUGGGUAACACUAACUGGAGGACCGAACCGACUAAUGUUGAAAAAUUAGCGGAUGACUUGUGGCUGGGGGU
rnacentral:rRNA from 1 species